GUGGAAACACGACGCCCGAAGGGCGGAGUGUUUUCACGCAAUUUCGAGUUUUCCCAACUUCCACGAGUGUUGAUAUAACGAUAUAUCAACACGGAAAAAUUGUUUUAUAUUUGUUUUAUAAUAUAGCAAUGUCAAAAGCCCGAAGAAUAAGAAAAAAUUCCGCGUUUACAAGCGGCGGAAAAUUUCCCGUGUUGACAUGGAGUUAUAUCAACAUGGCUCUUAGCCAAUCAGCGUUCAGAAUUUACAAAUGCUAUAUUAUAAUGUAAUAUAAUAUAUCUUCAAUGUAAAUAACUAUGGUUACCGCGUAGACACUGAACUUAAAAAUAAAGCUGGAUUGUGCUUACUAUUAAAUAUAGCUAGGUUUCAACAGAAAUGGUCAACUUCAGAAAUACUGACAAUAACAGAAGAAAAUAAAUUUUUUCCUUUGAAUACAAAAGUUGAAAAAGAAUAAACAUUUGAUUUUCUCACUCUGAUAACUGCAGUUUGACCAGCAUCUGCUGCACGAUAUUGCUUUGUGAAUCAUAUCAAUAGGAAUUUAGUACUUUGUAAUGACUAAGUAAUGUCAUGAUUUACUUCACGGUUCACAAAAGAAAAGUCUGUUGUGGAUAAAGGGUUAAUCGUUUUUUAGUAAAAUCUUUUUUAAUAAUUCAAUAUAUUCGUAAAUUUGAAACCAAUGUUUCGGCAUGGCAAAUAGAUUCCUUGUAAUGCCCCGUUGGAUUGUACAUGAGAGAGUACCUGUGGAAUUCAAAGUUU